AGCGCAUACAGCUACUCAGAGGAAAGCAAUGUUCAGUUAUACAGAGAGCUCCAAAGAAGACAGAGAAAGAUAGAGUCUUGUACCCUGUGUUUAUCAGUAUCUUUAUGUUCGUUGGGUGAAAAAGAAAAACUCAAUAAACAAAGUAAAAAAUAAUUUGACAUAUCUUCCCCUUCCCCAAUAUAUAUUCACAUACAGUAUAUACGUGCGUGUGUGUGUGUACUGGUAUAUAUGGUUUAUGAGGACACAAAUGUGUAUAAUGACAUGGGUACUACAACGUAAACAUGGUUUAUGAGGACACUUCCUGUGUCCCCGUAAAACAAAAGGCUUAAAAAAACAUACAAAACAGUGUUUUAUGAAAUUCAAUUGCCAGUAGUUUCCUGUAAGGGGUAGGUUUAGGGGUAGGGUUGGUGUAAGACGAUAGAAAAUACAGUUUGUACUGUAUAAAAACCCAUUACGCCUAUGGAGAGUCCCCGUAAACCACAAAUUCAAGUAUGUGUGUGUGUGUGUGUGUAAAAUAUACAUGUAUUCAUAUAAUUCAUAUACAGUAUGCAUCGUAAGACAGGGCCUUCCCAUGUAUUUUAUUUCCUCUGAACUGAAACUCUUAAGUAGAGAUGGAAAAAAAUACGCAAUCCGUAAGCAAAGCUACAGCCUCCCACAUCAAGGUAAAAAUCAUACUAUUGUAAGAAUCCCUGCUGAGUGAGUGAUUGGAAACAUGAACUGCAGCUACAUUACAAGAGAGAGAGAGAGAGAGAGAGAGGUGGAGCAGCGCCAUACAAGCCCAGAUGUAACACAUCAGUGAGCGGCAGAUUUGAUUGUGUGUGAUGGCCCUGAGGUUGUGAGACGCUGGAGAGGCGUGUGCCACAGAUACAUGAGGUCAUCAAUUUAACAGACAGACUUUAUUUGUCUGUUUCUUUUUCUUUCUGCUCUCAGUUUUUGCCCACACACAUAAACACACGACAAACACAUCUCUGCACCUCAUCAGUGCUCUCUCUCUUUCAUUUAUUUGACUGUGCAUGCCAUGUGAGUAGUUAUAUGUUUUACUUCAUAUAUUUCACAGUGAUCUGUUCUCAGAGUCCAGUAGAAGAUCUGAUUGGACUGAACUGACGAGAAGGAUCAUUCCUACUGGACAGUACAUUUUCAUAUCUUCAGUAAAUUCAUCUUAAUAGAUCAGAGCCGAUGGGGGAGAGAGGGAAGAGUGAUUGAUCCAUCUCUGCGGUUUAGCAUUAGCGGAGGGGAGAGAUGGGAUUGAGAGUUCAGUCCCUCUGAAGAGAAUCAACUUCACUCUGGAUUCUGAAUUCUCAAACACAGACACUCAAAGAAUUUAAAAGGGUUAAGGUGUUCUGGUCGAAUGCCACUUGCACCUUAGCGAAAGAGCAACUUCAGUGACGAUUGAGCUGUCUCUAUGAGAUGUGCUGUUACAGAACAACAGACCUUUGUAAACCCUGUCAAAACAUGACAAGAGGUCAUUCCACGUUUUGUAGAAGCAGCAUUGUGACGCUGUGAGUUCUCACCCUGAUCAGUGCUCCAGUUCUCCAUGACUUCUGAAAGGUAUACGUGUAGUGCACACCCUUGGACCCACAGGUGCAGAGCUGUCAAAGGCGACAAUGAACAAAACACUGGGUUAAACUUUACAAAUGCAACCUGAUAUUUUACAGAUACCCUCAUAUACUUAAAGGGGUCAUCGGAUGCCCAUUUUCUACAAGUUGAUAUGAUUCUUUAGGGUCUUAAUGAAAAGUCUAUAACAUACUUUGGUUAAAAUUUAUCAGUGGUAGUGUAAAACAACACCCUUUUUACCUUGUCAAAAACAUCUCUGCAAACAACAAGCCAUUUUAGUGCAUGUUUCUUUAAAUGCUAAUGAGCUCUGCUGACCCUGCCCCUCUCUUCUGUGGGGUGACGAGCCGUUCUCAUGAGACUGUUUACUUUAGCCGUGGAACUGGCUAAAUAGCACAUUAUUAGGAAAGGCGAUUUGCAAAGAUUCAUAAAAAACCCUUAUACUCACUUCUUCUGUAGGUUAAGCUGGAUCACGAAUUAUUUGUGCGAACAUAGAUGCAUUUAGGUAGAUCGGGGAUCUGCACAUUCCCUUCAGAAACAAACGUAAUCCACUGUGUCUUCAGCGGCUCAGAUGUCGGGAGUAAAUGACGACUGCUAUGUUCAUUAUUACAUCCAACAACAAAACACUUCAAUCACUUAGGAGACAUUCUUGUCUACUCCUGCUCCAGCGUCGAAGAAAAUGGCGGACUGAUGACAGCUCACUCAGGGCGGGUCUAAGGUAAAACACCAGUGUCAAUCAACAAUCUUGGGAGGGCCUGGGUCUGUGUGACGUCACACAGACAGGCAUCUGAGAUCGGCUCGAUUUGAGAAAGGGGAUAUUAUUUAUAGAGAUUAAAAAAAAAAAAAAAAACACUCGAGUGGAUUUUUUUUAUCAUUAUAGGGUGGAUGUGUACAAACACUGCCAACACACAUUUAUGUUCAAACAACAUGCAAAAGUGAAUUUUGCAUCCAAUGACCCCUUUAAAAAUCUGUUUUCUACUUAUAGGGUUACUCCACCCCAAAAUGAAAAGUUUUUCAUUAAUCGCUUACCCCCAUGUCGUUCCAAACCCGUAAAAGCGUUGUUCGUCUUCGGAACACAAUUUAAGAUAUUUUGGCUAUUGGAUAUUUUGACUGCCAAACAAUUAACACUGUCAAGGCCCAGAAAAGUAUGAAAGACAUCGUCAAAAUAGUCCAUCUGCCAUCAGUGGUUCAACCGUAAUUUUACAAAGCUACGAGAAUGCUGUUUUCGUUUCUUUACGCUUUGAUUUCAACUAAAAUAGCGUAUCCGUGUGGUGCGGCUGACACAGAACAGCGUACGCUGUUUGCAUCCAGCAAAUUUUCUCCAAAAUGGCGCUAUAUGCUAACACAGAGGAGAUGAAUUGUUGAAUAAAAUCGUUAUUUUUGUUUUCUUUGCAUACAAAAAGUAUUCUCGUAGCUUCGUAAAUUAUGGUUGAAUUAUGGUUCUCAUCCAAAAUAUCUUAAAUCGUGUUCCGAAGUCAAACGAAGCUUUUACAGGUUUGGAACGACAUGGGGUAAAGUGAUUAAUGACAAAAUUUUCAUUUUGGGGUGGAGUAACCCUUUAAAUGUAUUUUAAAGUGCAUUUUAUUUCUGUGAUCGUGAAGCUGAAUUUUCAGAAUCAUUGCUCCAGUGACAGUCUCCAGUGUCACAUGAUCCAUCAGAAAUCAAUUUAAUGUGCUGAUUUGCUGCUUAAGAAAAAUGUAUUAUCAAUACUAAAAACAUAUGUGCUACUAUCAAAAGAACUGCCUUUAAAAGUAUUUACUGUCGCUUUAGAUCAAUUUAAUGUGUCCUUUCUGAAUAAAAGUAUGAUUUUCUUUAAAAAAUCUUUUUGAUCCAAAACUUUUAAAUGUCAGUCUAAAAACUUUCAAAAAUGUAUUAUAAAAAUGUGCUGCUUUACUGUCAACAUGAAAAUAUUGUUUCAAUAUUUUAUAUUUUAUUUUAAUUAAGUUGUGAAUGCUGUUUCAUGACACUUAUUAUAAUAAUUACAGAAAAUCACAUGGUGUGUGUGAUUGGCAAGUUUAUAUUAGCUUCAGGCUAUGAUUCAAUCCAGUCAUAUAGGAUAUCGAACUUGUUUGUUAUUUUGAGCCAAUUUCGUAACAUUUGUCUUGUAUCUCCACACACGUUGUCAUGUUUCUGUGAGCUUGUUGUGUUCAGAACGACUUCAAAAUUGUGUGGUGUUUUCCAGCCUUAAGUUGCUUUGGAUAAAAGUGUCUGCUAAAUGAAUAAAUGUAAAUGUCACAUUAAAAAUGUCAAGGUGUGAAUUUGGGCCUUUAAAUUUGGGUGGAUAUCAGGCAGGUUUAGUAUUUGGCUGCUUAGAAUCGGCAGUCAGCCUCUGCUGGUAGAUCUCGUAACUACACCAUUUGGUUUGUCUUUUGAAGGCAAUUCCGAAAUUAGCUGGUGUACUAUGAAGUCAUUUUUUGCAAGCCAUAUAUACAUUGCAAAUAUUUUGCUGUAUUAUAGUAGAUGUUUUACAAGAGCACGGCUGUUUUUGGAGGCUUUUAAAAAUGUGAAAUAUAUUUUUUGUUGUCAGAAGCCUUCGACGUCACACUCAGGA